AGAGACAGCAGUCGCCGCGGUAAUACGUAGGUGGCAAGCGUUGUCCGGAAUUAUUGGGCGUAAAGCGCGCGCAGGCGGCCUAUCCAGUCUGUCUUAAAAGUUCGGGGCUCAACCCCGUGAUGGGAUGGAAACUAGUAGGCUAGAGUAUCGGAGAGGAAAGCGGAAUUCCUAGUGUAGCGGUGAAAUGCGUAGAUAUUAGGAAGAACACCAGUGGCGAAGGCGGCUUUCUGGACGAAAACUGACGCUGAGGCGCGAAAGCCAGGGGAGCGAACGGGAUUAGAUACCCGUGUAGUCCCUGUCUCUUAUACA
rnacentral:rRNA from 1 species